AUAUCUGACUUUGUAAUAAAAUAAAAAAAAAAUCAAGUGUAGUAUCUGUUCUUAUCAGUUUAAUAUUUGACACUUCCUCUAUCCAAAGACAAUGUAUUAAAUGGAUUUUUGGAACUAGGAGUUGGAAUAGGAGCUUGCUCCGUCUACUCCAUGCAUCAGCCUGGUAUUGCAGUACCUCCAGGAAUGGUGCACAAAAA
ensembl:snRNA U2 U2 spliceosomal RNA